rnacentral:rRNA from 1 species
GAUGAACGCUGGCGGCGUGCCUAAUACAUGCAAGUCGAGCGAACAGAUGAGGAGCUUGCUCCUCUGACGUUAGCGGCGGACGGGUGAGUAACACGUGGAUAACCUACCUCUAAGACUGUGGUCACUUCGGGAAACCUGAGCUAAUAGCGGAUCAUAUAUUGAACCGCAUGGUUCAAUAGUGAAUGACGGUGUUGCUGUCACUUAUAGAUUGAUCCGCGCCGCAUUAGCUAGUUGGUAAGGUAACGGCUUACCAAGGCGACGAUGCGUAGCCGACCUGAGAGGGUGAUCGGCCACACUGGAACUGAGACACGGUCAAGACUCCUACGGGAGGCAGCAGUAGGGAAUCUUCCGCAAUGGGCGAAAGCCUGACGGAGCAACGCCACGUGAGUGAUGAAGGUAUUCGGAUCGUAAAACUCUGUUCUUAGGGAAGAACAAAUGUGUAAGUACCUAUGCACGUAUUGACGGUACCUAAUCAGAAAGCCACGGCUAACUACGUG